GACGAACGCUGGCGGCGUGCCUAAUACAUGCAAGUUGAGCGCUGAAGGUUGGUACUUGUACCAACUGGAUGAGCAGCGAACGGGUGAGUAACGCGUGGGGAAUCUGCCUUUGAGCGGGGGACAACAUUUGGAAACGAAUGCUAAUACCGCAUAAAAACUUUAAACACAAGUUUUAAGUUUGAAAGAUGCAAUUGCAUCACUCAAAGAUGAUCCCGCGUUGUACUAGCUAGUUGGUGAGGUAAAGGCUCACCAAGGCGAUGAUACAUAGCCGACCUGAGAGGGUGAUCGGCCACAUUGGGACUGAGACACGGCCCAAACUCCUACGGGAGGCAGCAGUAGGGAAUCUUCGGCAAUGGACGAAAGUCUGACCGAGCAACGCCGCGUGAGUGAAGAAGGUUUUCGGAUCGUAAAACUCUGUUGGUAGAGAAGAACGUUGGUGAGAGUGGAAAGCUCAUCAAGUGACGGUAACUACCCAGAAAGGGACGGCUAACUACGUG
rnacentral:rRNA from 1 species